AGAGUUUGAUCCUGGCUUAGGAUGAACGCUGGCGGCGUGCUUAACACAUGCAAGUCGAGCGGAAGUAUUUUAAAGCUUGCUUUUAAUACUUUAGCGGCGGACGGGUGAGUAACGUGUGGGUAACCUGCCAUAUACUGGGGAAUAAUCAUUUGAAAGGAUGACUAAUACCGCAUGUGGUCACGAGAAGGCAUCUUUUUGUGAAGAAAGGGCUUCGGCUCGGUAUAUGAUGGACCCGCAUCUGAUUAGCUAGUUGGUGAGAUAACAGCUCACCAAGGCAACGAUCAGUAGCCGACCUGAGAGGGUGAUCGGCCACAUUGGGACUGAGACACGGCCCAAACUCCUACGGGAGGCAGCAGUGGGGAAUAUUGCACAAUGGGCGAAAGCCCUGAUGCAGCAACGCCGCGUGAAGGAAGAAGGGUUUCGGCUCGUAAACUUCUAUCAAUGGGGAAGAAAUAAAUGACGGUACCCAAAUAAGAAGCCCCGGCUAACUACGUGCCAGCCGCCGC
rnacentral:rRNA from 1 species